AUUGAACGCUGGCGGCAUGCUUUACACAUGCAAGUCGAACGGUAACAGGUUAAGCUGACGAGUGGCGAACGGGUGAGUAAUGCAUCGGAACGUGCCCGAUCGUGGGGGAUAACGCAGCGAAAGCUGCGCUAAUACCGCAUACGAUCUGAGGAUGAAAGCGGGGGACGGUAAGGCCUCGCGCGAUCGGAGCGGCCGAUGUCGGAUUAGGUAGUUGGUGGGGUAAAGGCUCACCAAGCCGACGAUCUGGAGCUGGUCUGAGAGGACGACCAGCCACACUGGGACUGAGACACGGCCCAGACUCCUACGGGAGGCAGCAGUGGGGAAUUUUGGACAAUGGGCGCAAGCCUGAUCCAGCAAUGCCGCGUGCAGGAAGAAGGCCUUCGGGUUGUAAACUGCUUUUGUACGGAGCGAAAAGGCUCUCUCUAAUACAGGGGGCUCAUGACGGUACCGUAAGAAUAAGCACCGGCUAACUACGUGCCAGCAGCCGCCGUAA
rnacentral:rRNA from 1 species